rnacentral:rRNA from 1 species
GAUGAACGCUGGCGGCGUGCUUAACAUAUGCAAGUCGAACGAAGCACCUUAUUCUGAUUUCUUCGGAAUGAAAAAUUUGGUGACUGAGUGGCGGACGGGUGAGUAACGCGUGGGUAACCUGCCUCAUACAGGGGGAUAACAGUUAGAAAUGACUGCUAAUACCGCAUAAGACCACAGCACCGCAUGGUGCAGGGGUAAAAACUCCGGUGGUAUGAGAUGGACCCGCGUCUGAUUAGGCAGUUGGUGGGGUAACGGCCUACCAAGCCGACGAUCAGUAGCCGACCUGAGAGGGUGACCGGCCACAUUGGGACUGAGACACGGCCCAAACUCCUACGGGAGGCAGCAGUGGGGAAUAUUGCACAAUGGGGGAAACCCUGAUGCAGCGACGCCGCGUGAGCGAUGAAGUAUUUCGGUAUGUAAAGCUCUAUCAGCAGGGAAGAAAAUGACGGUACCUGACUAAGAAGCACCGGCUAAAUACGUGCCAGCAGCCGCCGUAA